UACGGGGGGGCAAGCGUUGUUCGGAAUUACUGGGCGUAAAGGGCUCGUAGGCGGCCAACUAAGUCAGACGUGAAAUCCCUCGGCUUAACCGGGGAACUGCGUCUGAUACUGGAUGGCUUGAGUUUGGGAGAGGGAUGCGGAAUUCCAGGUGUAGCGGUGAAAUGCGUAGAUAUCUGGAGGAAUACCGGUGGCGAAGGCGGCAUCCGUGGACCGGCAUUGACGCUGAGGAGCGAAAGCCAGGGGAGCAAAGCGGGG
rnacentral:rRNA from 1 species